rnacentral:rRNA from 1 species
AGAGUUUGAUCCUGGCUCAGGACGAACGCUAGCGGCGUGCCUAAGAAAUGCAAGUCGAGCGGGUGGAGCGAUCCACCUAGCGGCGAACGGUCGCGUAACACGUAAGCAACCUGCCCCGAAGACCGGGACAACACUUCGAAAGGGGUGCUAAUACCGGAUGUGGUUGAGUGUGGGCAUCCAUGCUCAACUAAAGCAGGUAACUGGCUUCGGGAUGGGCUUGCGGCCUAUCAGCUAGUUGGUGGGGUAACGGCCUACCAAGGCGACGACGGGUAGCUGGUCUGAGAGGACGGCCAGCCGGACUGGGACUGAGACACGGCCCAGACUCCUACGGGGGGCAGCAAUUAGGAAUCUUGCGCAAUGGGCGAAAGCCUGACGCAGCGACGCCGCGUGAAGGACGAAGUCUUUUGGGACGUAAACUUCUUUUGCCAGGGACGAAGGAUGUGACGGUACCUGGUGAAUAAGCCCCGGCUAACUACGUGCCAGCAGCCGCGGUAA